AUUGAACGCUGGCGGCAUGCCUUACACAUGCAAGUCGAACGGUAACGCGGGGCAACCUGGCGACGAGUGGCGAACGGGUGAGUAAUGCAUCGGAACGUGCCCAGUAGUGGGGGAUAGCCCGGCGAAAGCCGGAUUAAUACCGCAUACGACCUAUGGGUGAAAGCGGGGGACCGUAAGGCCUCGCGCUAUUGGAGCGGCCGAUGUCAGAUUAGGUUGUUGGUGGGGUAAAAGCCUACCAAGCCGACGAUCUGUAGCUGGUCUGAGAGGACGACCAGCCACACUGGGACUGAGACACGGCCCAGACUCCUACGGGAGGCAGCAGUGGGGAAUUUUGGACAAUGGGGGCAACCCUGAUCCAGCCAUGCCGCGUGCGGGAAGAAGGCCUUCGGGUUGUAAACCGCUUUUGUCAGGGAAGAAACGCUCUGAGUUAAUACCUCGGGGUAAUGACGGUACCUGAAGAAUAAGCACCGGCUAACUACGUGCCAGCCGCCGCGGUAA
rnacentral:rRNA from 1 species